ACUGACAUUGAUGGUCCAGUUGAGAGCAUCAGCAUUUUACUGCUUAAUUGUAUAUUGCUCUCUGCAAAAAUGACUAUUCUACUGUGAAAAAGUUACAACAAAUCAGGAAGCCAUCAUUUCUGUUAUAAACCUAUUCUUGAAAUGAAUGUAUGUAGCUAAUUCCACAUGGUACAAUUAAAACUGUGUUAACUAGAAGUUCUGCAAGUUAGUGGCCAUGUAGAAUGCCAUGAUUAUCAAACAUAAGUAAUAAAAUUACAUGCAUUUGAAACUGACAUAUGUUAUUAAACUUAAAGGUAACUGCAGCAAUUGUUAGAACUUAGGCCAACAAAUAAUUUUAAGUUAUCUGUAGAAAAUGCAUCUUGGGUGAGCCAUUACCAUCACUGCACUCCCCCACCCAAACUUCUGCUUGGUACUCCUUGUCCUCUGGAUAUUUAUUAUAUGCACUACAUUCAACUAAACUCUAUGUAAAUUUCAUAGUCAUGUUUUCCUUUGUUCCAUCUUGGUUAUUUAUACCAUAGCGAUGUAUAAAAAUGGCUUAACAUCCUUUUGCUAAGUGUUAUAGAUUGAAUUUUGUCUACCCAAAACUUGUAGACAUAAUUUGGAGAUAGGGUCUUUACAGAGGAAAUCAGGUUAAAUUAAGGUCAUUAGGUUGGCUCUAAUCCAUAUGACUGAUGUCCUUAUAAAAAGGUGAAAUUUGGACACAGAUACAUACAAAGGAAAAAAAGAUGUGAAGAAACACAGAGAAGAUGGCCAUCCACAGGACAAGGAGUGAGGUUUUGAACAGAUUCUUUCUUCACAGCCCUCAGGAGAAUCCAAACCUGCCAACAUCUUGAUCUUGGACAUCCCGUCUCCAGAACUGUGAGACAAGACAUGUGUUGUUUAAGCCACACAGCCAGUCUGUCAUACUUUGUUAUGCACUAAUAUGAAUAUGAACAAAAAGUAAAGAAGCUGACCAUAUUAUUAACAUAAUUGUCUUACUUCCAACCUUAUUGCACCUUUGCUUGUGGUUCUGUGUUCAUUCUGACAGCCCCCCGACUUCCUUUUCUGUCAUCGAGGAGGCCCUUAUGCACAGUCAUUGUGUGUUAGACUGCCCUACUCCAAACCUGUCCCUUUGCUCUCAGCACAUGACGUGGCCAGAAAGAUUAUUUAAAACAGAACAAACAAACAACAAACUAGAAAAUGGGGCUAUUUGGGAGGAUCAGUGUCAUCCUCCAAAUACAAAGCUUCCUAUAUUCCUUUCUUCAGUUUUACGUUCUUGCAGUAUUGAGAACGAAAUCCAGCAACACUACUCUACUUCCAUCAUAAAGUAUUCUGGAAGAUACUUCAUUAUCAUCUCUCCUGCUUCUAAAACGGCCCAACCCCCAUCUCCUAUGUUUCC
rnacentral:lncRNA from 10 species